GAUGAACGCUGGCGGCGUGCCUAAUACGUGCAAGUCGAGCGAAUGGAUUAAGAGCUUGCUCCUAUGAAGUUAGCGGCGGACGGGUGAGUAACACGUGGGUAACCUGCCCAUAAGACUGGGAUAACUCCGGGAAACCGGGGCUAAUACCGGAUAACAUUUUGAACCGCAUGGUUCGAAAUUGAAAGGCGGCUUCGGCUGUCACUUAUGGAUGGACCCGCGUCGCAUUAGCUAGUUGGUGAGGUAACGGCUCACCAAGGCAACGAUGCGUAGCCGACCUGGGAGGGGGAUCGGCCACACUGGGACUGGGACACGGCCCAGACUCCUACGGGAGGCAGCAGUAGGGAAGCUUCCGCAAUGGACGAAAGUCUGACGGAGCAACGCCGCGUGAGUGAUGAAGGCUUUCGGGUCGUAAAACUCUGUUGUUAGGGAAGAACAAGUGCUAGUUGAAUAAGCUGACACCUUGACGGUACCUAACCAGAAAGCCACGGCUAACUACGUGCCAGCCGCCGCGGUAA
rnacentral:rRNA from 1 species